rnacentral:rRNA from 1 species
GAUGAACCGCUGGCGGCGUGCUUAAANAUGCAAGUCGAACGGGGCUUCGGCCUAGUGGCGGACGGGUGAGUAACGCGUGAGAACCUGCCCUUAGGAUGGGGACAACAGUUGGAAACGACUGCUAAUACCCAAUGUGCCGAGAGGUGAAAAAUUUAUUGCCUGAGGAUGGGCUCGCGUCUGAUUAGCUAGUUGGUGUGGUAAGAGCAUACCAAGGCAACGAUCAGUAGCUGGUUUGAGAGGAUGAUCAGCCACACUGGGACUGAGACACGGCCCAGACUCCUACGGGAGGCAGCAGCGGGGAAUUUUCCGCAAUGGGCGAAAGCCUGACGGAGCAACGCCGCGUGUGGGAGGAAGGUUUUCGGACUGUAAACCACUUUUCUCAGGGAAGAAUUUUGACGGUACCUGAGGAAUAAGCAUCGGCUAAUUCCGUGCCAGCAGCCGCGGUAAUACGGGAGAUGCAAGCGUUAUCCGGAUUUAUUGGGCGUAAAGCGUCCGCAGGCGGAUUACCAAGUCUGUUGUUAAAGACCGGGGCUUAACUCCGGAAUGGCAAUGGAAACUGGUAGUCUAGAGUAUGGUAGGGGUAAGGGGGAAUUCCCCGGUGUAGCGGUGAAAUGCGUA